GACCCGUCCUUGAAACACGGACCAAGGAGUCUAACAUGUACGCAAGUCAUGGGGUUGUCUCUUACGAAGAAACCCACAAGGCGCAAUGAAAGUGAAAGGCAACGCUCGUCGUGGCCUGGGCAGGAUCCCCUAACCCUCCGGGGCGGGGCGCACUGCCGGCCCGUCUCGUCUGCAUCGUCGUCCCUCGGGGCUUCGAACUGUCAGUGAGGCGGAGCAAGAGCGCACACGUUGGGACCCGAAAGAUGGUGAACUAUGCUUGAGUAGGACGAAGCCAGAGGAAACUCUGGUGGAGGUCCGCAGCGAUUCUGACGUGCAAAUCGAUCGUCAAACUUGAGUAUAGGGGCGAAAGACUAAUCGAACCAUCUAGUAGCUGGUUCCUUCCGA
rnacentral:rRNA from 1 species